AAAUAGCUAUUUAAAACUAAACAUUUUAUCAUAUAAACUGUUGGUUUAAGAAUGAAACACUUAUUCAUAUCAAAUUGAUUUGAAAUUUGGCAUGAUUUCAUAGACAAAACAGUAAAUCCAACAGUCGAUUUGCAAGCAUAUGAAUCACAUAAAAAAUUAACGGGAUCAUGUAAACAAUUGCUCAACUUGUAUAUAAUUUGAUACUAACACGGGAUCAUUAUUAUUUGAGGAUUUACUAGAAUUAUUAGAAAUCUAACUAUAUAGAUUAUCCUAGUCAAAGU
rnacentral:misc_RNA from 1 species